rnacentral:rRNA from 1 species
AUUGAACGCUGGCGGCAUGCCUUACACAUGCAAGUCGAACGGCAGCGGGGGAGAAGCUUGCUUUUCCUGCCGGCGAGUGGCGAACGGGUGAGUAAUACAUCGGAACGUGCCCUGUAGUGGGGGAUAACUAGUCGAAAGAUUAGCUAAUACCGCAUACGACCUGAGGGUGAAAGUGGGGGACCGCAAGGCCUCAUGCUAUAGGAGCGGCCGAUGUCUUAUUAGCUAGUUGGUGGGGUAAAGGCCUACCAAGGCGACGACCAGUAGCUGGUCUGAGAGGACGAUCAGCAACACUGGGACUGAGACACGGCCCAGACUCCUACGGGAGGCAGCAGUGGGGAAUUUUGGACAAUGGGCGAAAGCCUGAUCCAGCAAUGCCGCGUGUGUGAAGAAGGCCUUCGGGUUGUAAAGCACUUUUGUCCGGAAAGAAAUGGCUCUGGUUAAUACCUGGGGUCGAUGACGGUACCGGAAGAAUAAGGACCGGCUAACUACGUGCCAGCCGCCGCCGUAACAC